rnacentral:rRNA from 1 species
GUAGGUGGCAAGCGUUGUCCGGAAUUAUUGGGGCGUAAAGCGCGCGCAGGCGGUUCUUUAAGUCUGAUGUGAAAGCCCACGGGCUCAACCGUGGAGGGUCAUUGGAAACCGGAGAACUUGAGUACAGAAGAGGAAAGCGGAAUUCCACGUGUAGCGGUGAAAUGCGUAGAGAUGUGGAGGAACACCAGUGGCGAAGGCGGCUUUCUGGUCUGUAACUGACGCUGAGGCGCGAAAGCGUGGGGAGCGAACAGGAUUAGAUACCCUGGUAGUCCACGCCGUAAACGAUGAGUGCUAAGUGUUAGGGGGUUUCCGCCCCUUAGUGCUGCAGCUAACGCAUUAAGCACUCCGCCUGGGGAGUACGGCCGCAAAGGCUG